rnacentral:tRNA from 1 species
GCCGACGUAGCUCAGCGGUAGAGCAACUGAUUCGUAAUCAGUAGGUCCGGGGUUCAAUCCCCCGCGUCGGCUCCA